CCAAAAGUUAAAAUUAUAUUAACUCAUCAUAUGUACAAAAUAUUUUAGAUAUUAUUUUUUUUAAGUGCUGUUUGAAAAUGGUUGCAUCCUAGUAUUCAUAGAAUGUGAUAGAUGAUGGACAUUCUGUAAAGAAGCAAAAGGCUUUACAGGUUAAGGAUUAAUAUCUUAUUUAACAGACAAGUAACAACUUUCAUUUUUUAACUUUUUUUUUUUACAGUUAAGUGAUUUUAUAUCAUUGUCACCUGUACAAGUCUACUCAUGCUUGCAUAUAUAUAAACCCAUUCACACCUACAUUCUGUCUUAUUUUCAAGUUUUCCUGAAACAGAAUGAGAGAGAAAAACUAAUUUAAUUGUAUAGGGGCAUUUCAUUAUAAAUUGAUUCUGUUUCAGUUUGAUCAAACUCCAUAAAUUUGGGCACACAAUACUGAACUUGUUUACUCUUGAAUUACAAUUUCAUAACAAUUUUUAACUAAACUGAGAAAAUAGCAUCCUCCUCAGACAUAACAUAAGCAUCUAGACUAUCCUGAGAGUAAGAUUGGUGCUCCUGUAACAAAAAAAAACCCAAACUACUGCUAGGGCUAUGAGCAAUAACGGCUGAUGUCAACAC
rnacentral:lncRNA from 1 species